rnacentral:piRNA from 1 species
UAGGAUUUCCAGGGCACAGCAGGGC